rnacentral:lncRNA from 1 species
UUUUUGUGAUUUUUCUCUUUUCUGGUUAUUUUUAAUUCAUUUUAAAUAGUUUUUGAUAUUCAAAAAAUACAAAAAUAUUUUCCUAACCUAUUUGAAUGAUGAUGGAUCUAUGAAAAAUAUUCUCAUCAAUUUUUUAAUUGNUUUGAUAUUCAAAAAAUACAAAAAUAUUUUCCUAACCUAUUUGAAUGAUGAUGGAUCUAUGAAAAAUAUUCUCAUCAAUUUUUUAAUUGAUUUGAGAUUUAUUUGAGAUUUUAGUUCAAUU